UUUCUUGAGAAUUCAUGGCAAAGAAUAUGCAAACAACUCUUCAUUCAGCUCCCUUUAUUUCCCAGCCGUCCUUCCCCAAUCUCAAAAACGCUCAGAAGAGGAGCCCUGAUUCAGUGUGAACACUAGAGGAUCUGUGCCUACCACAUCCAUCACUCCCUUGAGCCACACCCUUGCCAUGCAUGCUUCCGUGCACACAUGGCUCAUUCAUAAAUCUCCCAGCAUGCGCAGCAGCCACUCCCUCUAAUGCGUAUGCGCACACGCCUGCGCCGAAGCUUCCUUCUCAAACCGCUACUGGACACUUCUCACCUGGGAUUGAAUGAGAUUUUAUUUCCUCCAAACAAAUUAUUGGGUCAGUGAGAUUGUUCCAUGGGUAAGGUGCUCACUGUAGGCCUGAGUUCAAUCCCUAGGGCCUAUAUAAAAUUCGUAUAAGAACAUCAUUCAAUUCCUGGGAGAAGCAGGAGGUUGAAGAGGGGAGUGAAGGAAGGUCCCACUAUGACCAAGUCGGCUGUCUGCCUUGCUAUUCUCCCAGUUCCUGAUACCAAGAUGGGGAACCUACUGUACCUUCUUAGGUGUGUGUCCGCAUCAAAUCUGGCACAGAAAGCACCACCCUGCAGCAUUAACUUCAUUCUUCACACUGUCCUGGGAGGUGUUUGUCACAGACACCCAGCCCUUUCUACAGAUGAGGAUCUAAGGCUCCAGACUCCCAGGGUCACGUGGCAAUGGAACAGACCUGAAGCCUCGGAUGCAGGUCACGUGGCAGUGGGACAGACCUGAAGCCUUGGAUGCAGGUCACGUGGCAAUGCGACAGACCUGAAGCCUUGGAUGCAGGUCACGUGGCAGUGGGACAGACCUGAAGCCUCGGAUGCAGGUUUACAGGCAAAUCCAGCCCGAAGCUCAACAACCAAGAUGUGACUGAGGAGUUUCUAUUUCAACUGAAACAAUGUGGAUUUCUUCUA